ensembl:lncRNA
UGGCAUUUGGAAAAUGCUUCCAGGGAUGAACCAGACUUGUGGAGGUCUACAAUUCUUUCCUGAGGUCUUGGCUGAUUUCUUUGGAUUUUCCCAUGAUGUGAGGCAUGAUAAUGAGGCACUGAGUUUGAAGGUUUCACCAUGGAGAGCGGAAUCCUUAUCUGGUCUCUCCUGUUGUUCUUUACCCUGACUACCCUCUAUUCAUACCCUAAUAAAACCCUCAACUCAAUCCAAGAUCUAAAGGACUUAGAUUUUGAUUAUCCCAUCCCCCCACCUUGGCUCAGUUUGCUCUACUGGCUCACCAGCAACAUCAACUACAUAGACAACAACAACUACAUAGUAAUGGAGAGUGUGAUGAUUUGAAGAUUAAGCUGGAGGUAAAGACAACAAGUGAAGGGACAGCCAGGAUCAGCUGGGAUGACAUCCCUAAGAAGCACUUGAACCGGGAUGUGUUUGUGGUGCUUUAUCAGAACAAGGACAGUGAGAUCCAGCUAGCCAACACCAAGAUAAUCGAGGCCUCUGGGAACUUCAACACCACUGAAGCGCUGAAUCCCGGCCUGCAGGUCAGCCUUCACAAGAGCAAAACCAACUGGAAGAGACCGCAAAUUGCCGGGGAGGAGCUCUGGAGAGGUCUUGAGUUUCACGACACCAACAGGGAGAUUCCUGUUGACAUAAGAGGUUAUGACGCCAGUCUGCAGCUCUACGUUAAAGACAGCAAGGCCAGCGCUCACCUGUACGUCAGGAACUCUUUCACUGACUAUAUGGAUGUGUUUAAGAGCUCCUGGGUUGGUUUCUACUCCAAUGGAAACACAAGUGUUAUACGUGGCAGUGUAUUUCUCCAAGGAAACCCGCUCGGACAUACCAGAGUAUGAUGUCUAUGUGUAUCAGUCUCAUCGAGCCAUGUCUCUUGAUGUCCAGGCUAGAUUCAUACUGGAUGACAAUGAAAUGGCCCGUACUCUACCCUGGGAAAUACAGAGACCUGCUGAUAGUAAGUCUCCUGUUGAUAUAAACGGUUAGGAUGCCCUUCUGCAGCUCUUCGUUAAAGGCAACAAGGCCUGUGCUCGCCUGUACAUUAAGAAGUCCUCUGACUGGGAGAGUAAGUUUUACUACUCCUAGGUUGGUUUCUACUCCAACGAAAAUAAAGCCACCACGGAGUAUGAUAACAAUAGGUGGCAAUGGACCAAUAAAUUCUCCAAGGAAAUUCAGUCUGACAUACCAGACUAUGAUGCUUAUGUAUACCAGUUUGGUAGGACCAUGUCUCCUGGUGUCCAGGCCAGAUUCCCACUGUCUGACAAGAUUGAAAAGGACCGUACUCUACCUUGGAAGAAUUAGGGCUUGAUUCAAUCUGUAUAGCUGAAGUUCAGCGCUAAUGCGCAAUAUAUAUUCAAAGGUAAUUUGCGAUUGAGCCCACAUUAUGCAGCAUUUACCGUGAAUGACGUCUCCGCGAACAGAACGUUGCUUUAAAAUGUUUUUUUUUUGCGCAUUAGCGCUUACUUCAGUGAUACAUGAUUGAAUAGAAUUUACAGUGCAUCCGGAAAGUAUUCAGACCCCUUGACUUUUUCAACAUUUUGUUACGUUACAUUCUUAUUCUAAAUUGGAUUCAAUCGUUUUUCCCCCCCAUCAGUCUACACACAAUACCCCAUAAUAAGGCAAAAACAGGUCUUUAGGCAUUUUUGCAAAUGUAUAAAAAUAAAAAUAAACUGAAAUAUAACAUUUACAUAAGUAUUCAGACCUUUUACUCAAAUCAAAUCAAACUUGAUUUGCCACAUGCACCGAAUACAACAAGUGUAGACUUUACCGUGAAACGCUUACUUACAAGCCCUUAACCAACAGUGCAGUUCAAGAAGAACAAAAUAUUUACCAAGUAGGCUAAAAGAAAAAGUAAUAAUAAAAAGUAACACAAUAAGAAUAACAAUAAUGAGGCUAUAUACAGGGGCACCAGUACCAGGGGUACAGGCUAGUUGAGGUAAUCUGUACAUGAAGGUGGGGGUGAAGUGACUAUGCAUAGGUAACAAACAAACAGCGAGUAGCAGCAGUAUACAAGGGGGGUGUCAAUGUAAAUUGUCUGGAGAUGAUUUUUAUCAAAUCAAAUCAAAUCAAAUUUAUUUAUAUAGCCCUUCGUACAUCAGCUGAUAUCUCAAAGUGCUGUACAGAAACCCAGCCUAAAACCCCAAACAGCAAGCAAUGCAGGUGUAGAAGCACGGUGGCUAGGAAAAACUCCCUAGAAAGGCCAAAACCUAGGAAGAAACCUAGAGAGGAACCAGGCUAUGUGGGGUGGCCAGUCCUCUUCUGGCUGUGCCGGGUGGAGAUUAUAACAGAACAUGGCCAAGAUGUUCAAAUGUUCAUAAAUGACCAGUAUGGUUGAAUAAUAAUAAGGCAGAACAGUUGAAACUGGAGCAGCAGCACGGUCAGGUGGACUGGGGACAGCAAGGAGUCAUCAUGUCAGGUAGUCCUGGGGCAUGGUCCUAGGGCUCAGGUCAGUUGAAACUGGAGCAUUUAUGAAUUUUAUGAAUUGUUCAGCAGACUAAUGGCUUGGGGGUAGAAGCUAUUGAGGAGCCUUUUGGUCCUAGGCUUGGCACUCCAGGACCGCUUGCCGUGCGGUAGCAGAGAAAACAGUCUAUAACUUGGGUGACUGGAGUCUCUGACAAUUUUCUGGGCUUUCUUCUAAGUACCUUGUUCUAGCACCUUUGGCAGCAAUUACAGUCUUCUUGGGUAUGACGCUAUAAGUUUGGCACACCUGUAUUUGGGGAGUUUCUCCCAUUCUUCUUUGCAGAUCCUCUCAAGCUCUGUCAGGUUGGAUGAGGAGCAUCGACUGCACAGCUAUUUACAGGUCUCUCCAGAGAUGUUUGAUCGGGUUCAAGUUUACUCCUGUGUUGUCUUGGCUAUGUGCUUAGGAUAGUUGUCCUGUUGGAAGGUGAAUCUUAGCCCCAGUCUGAGGUCCUGAGUGCUCUGGAGCAGGUUUUCAUCAAGGAUCUUUCUGUACUUUGCUCUGUUCAUCUUUUCCUCAAUGCUGAUUAGUCUCCCAGUCCCUGUCACUGAAAAACAGUCAUGCCCACAGCAUGAUGCUGCCAUCACCAUGCUUCACUGUAGGGAUAGUAUCAGGUUUCCUCCAGACGUGACACUUGGCCUUCAGGCCAAAGAGUUCAAUCUUAGUUUCAUCAGACCAGAGAAGCUUGUAGGUGCAUGUUCCUUUUACUGAUAAAUGGCUUCCAUCUGGCCACUCUACCAUAAAGGCCUGAUUGGUGGAGUGCUGCAGUAAUGGUUGUCCUUCUGGAAGGUUCUCCCAUCUCCACAGAGGAAUUCUGCAGCUCUGUCAGAGUGACUAUCGGGUUCUUGGCCACAUCCCUGACCAAUGCCCUUCUCCCCCGAUUGCUCAGUUUGGCCAGGCGGCCAGCUCUAGGAAGAGUCUUGGUGGUACCAAACUUCUUCUAUUUGAGAAUGAUAGAGGCCACUGUGUUCUUUGGUACCUUCAAUGCUGCAGACAUUUUUGGGUACCCUUCACCAGAUCUGUGCCUCGACACAAUCCUGUCUCGGAGCUCUACGGACAAUUCCUUCAACCUCAUGACUUGGUUUUUGCUCUGACAUGCACUGGUUUUAAAAACAUGUUUUCACUUUGUCAUUAUGGGGUAUUGUGUAUAGAUUGAAGAGGGAAAAAAACAUAUUUAGUCCAUUUUAGAAUAAGGCUGUAAUGUAAAAAAAAUGUGGAAAAAGUCAAGGGGUCUGAAUACUUUCUGAAUGCACUGUAUAUUGCGCAUUAGCUUUAACUUCAGCGAUACAUGAUUGAAUAAAGCUCUUAGAGGAGUAGCUUAGUGAGAGAGUUGAGCUGUAGACAGAGAAUCAACAGAUCUCUAAACCAGUUCCCAACUGGCUCAUUCAAACCCUCUCCUCUUUCCUGUGACGUUUUCAUUUCUACCUUUUCAACAACAACAAACAUUUAAGCAUUAGAAUGAUUAGAACGUGGUCUUUUUUUAAAGUAACUUAUCUAUUCAGAAUGUGCAAGUGUGUGAGAAAUGUAUGCUUGCUACAAGGACAAUAAGUAAUCGCAGAUUAUCCUUGUAUAACUUUUUAAAAUCCUUUAAUAGAUUUAUUUCAUUUUUUAUGUUUUUCUAUCUCAGGACUACAUGUGUUUUACUCUCAUUAUAAUCAUAUUGCAUUAACUGUUUAUCUGAUGUUAAUUUUGUAUUUGGAGCAUAUUUGUAUUAAAUCUUAAUAUCAC